ACCCCACAAGUGGAGCAGUCUCAAUAGACAGGAAGUGAGCCCAGGGAGCAGGAGCAAAAGCGGUUCUGGUGCUUUAUACUUUCAGGGCAGGGCAGCCAGCGGCCUGCAGUGGGUCCCCCGUGUGUGUGUGUGUGUGUGUGUGAGAGUGGCUGAGGGUGGGCACAGUGCACGGGAGCUCACGGAGAGCAGCUUUCUAAGUCUUGGUAAAGAAACAAGCUGACAAGAGACCUAGCUUUCUGUCUUUUAAGAAUGGUAUUGGGGGAGGGGGCCAGCUGAGGUCCUUCACUGGGUUUUCUCCACCCUCCCAUAGAUUGUCAGCUGUAAGUCAACUCCUAGUGUAAAGGGGGGGGGGGGCUGUGCUAGGAGUCCCCAUAAACAUGUACUGUAAUUCUUUGUAUAUAGAAAAAAAUACUGUAAAGUAAAGUUUAACUUUACUCUUA